UCCUUAGAUGUUCUGGGCCGCACGCGUGCUACACUGAGUGGAUCAGCGGGUCAGGUUGCGCGAAAGUGUUUCCUAAUCUUUAAAUCCGCUCGUGAUGGGGAUUGACGGUUGCAAUUUUCCGUCAUGAACGAGGAAUACCUUGUAAGCGCGGGUCAUCAUCCCGCGCUGAAUACGUCCCUGCCCUUUGUACACACCGCCCGUCGCUCCUACCGAUUGAGUGGUCCGGUGAGGCUUUGGGAUCUGAGCGGAAAGAGCGUUUCGCUGUUUCUGCCCGGAAAACUCAGUCGAACCUUAUCAUUUAGAGGAAGGAGAAGUCGUAACA
rnacentral:rRNA from 1 species